rnacentral:pre_miRNA from 1 species
CAACUACUCCCUCCGUUCGGAAUUACUUGUCGCGGAAAUGGAUGUAUCUAGACGUAUUUUAGUUCUAGAUACAUCCAUAUCCGAGAUAAGUAAUUCCGAAUGGAGGAAGUAUAUA